CACGAGAAUGGAGGCCUCCUUCGUAGGUAGACCAACCGCCGUCAAAACAAAGAGAGUGGUCGCUGCUCCUAUAGCUGGCAUCCCUGCUGCUCCUAUGCUGCACACUGCUGCUGUCACACUGCAGGAAGAGGGACUUACCAAAGGGUAAUUAUCUCUCCGAAGUUGAGGUCGAUGUGGUUCAGCUGGGCUAGAAAACUACUGCCACCACUUCAUAAAGAACAGUUCCGUCCAUGUUGAUGUUGGUCCCGAUGGGCAGCAUGAAGCGAGUGAUUCUCUUGUCGAUCUUGAGUCGCUCCUCACAACAUUGGUAGAAAAGAUCAUCAAUCCCUCUGCUCUUAAACUCACUCUGCCUGCCAACAUGAAAAUCCAUUCCACCUUCCAUGUCUCCCAGAUCAAGUUGGUCUCUUUCAGUCCACUUUGCCUGCCUUUAUUUUGCUGUUUUUUGUUUCGUUCUCUAGCCCUGCCACACUCACCUGCCCUGCCGGACAUGCGCAGCCUGCCUUCAAUUCUUCUCUGGACUUCACCCUCAUGCCCUGGAUCACUCUCCCUUUCCUCCAUUGUG